rnacentral:lncRNA from 1 species
AUAGAAAUAUUGCUGAAUUUCCGUUUCUGUUCUCUAACUUUAGUUUGUCUUUACCAGAUGUUAUUAAAAUUAUACACAAUGCUUAAAACCACCAAAUGCAGAUCAACUUUGAAUUUUGGUGGUGUAACUUUCACUGUUCUAUGCAAUGCCUCUUUAUAGAGGGAAAAAGUUGCUGAAUUUUUUUGUUUUGUAUUUCUUUCUUUA